rnacentral:rRNA from 1 species
UACGUAGGGUGCAAGCGUUGUCCGGAUUAUUGGGCGUAAAGAGCUCGUAGGCGGUUUGUCGCGUCUGCUGUGAAAACUCGAGGCUCAACCUCGGGCUUGCAGUGGGUACGGGCAGACUAGAGUGCGGUAGGGGUGACUGGAAUUCCUGGUGUAGCGGUGGAAUGCGCAGAUAUCAGGAGGGAACACCGGUGGGCGAAGGCGGGUC